UCGUACUUGGCGUUCUGCAGGGCCGUGUAGUUGUUCUCCAGCACGAUCUCCGUGAAGACACAAUCCUUGCCCUUGCCGUUGCUCUGCAGGUGGGGGGUGGGGAGGGGGCAGACGCGGCGUUACUGGGCUCUGGCCGGAGCUCCCCCCCAGCAGAGGCAGAGGGCAGGCGGCCCCAGACAGCAGAUGUAGAGGCCUGUCUCAGCUCCUCGGACUCGAACCCGGCUGCCAAAGUGACAGAUUUAUCCCGGGAAAAUUAUGUCUCCUUCUCCAGCUUUGAAGGGAAGUCAGCUACGUCGAUGCAGAAAAAAUGCAGUGAGACAUACUCGAUCCCCCAAACUGGCUCGAGAAGAGGAGAAAGUAUUCAGGAAAUGUUAAAAAAGGUGAAAGUAAGAAGAGUUUUAAUCGCUCUGCCAGACGCGGGGGUCUCUCCAGAGAUUCAUAGAGAACAAUCUUGAACCUCUUUUUUAACAUUUACAGACUUGCAACUCCUUUCAAACUCCACAUCUGAAAAAAGGCUCGUUCUUUUUCUGUUUUAUAUCAUUCUUCAUUUUUCUUCUUAGCUCU